AAUGCAUGAUGCCGUUGACUUUUUGUCCAACGUUUGACCAUUCGUCUUAUUAAAAAAAAUUGUAUGUAAUUAUCAUUUAUUUUAUUGUGACUUGAUUCAUUAUCAAAUGUUCUUUAAGCAUGACAUAAAUAUUUUCACAUUUGUACAAAAAAUUUGAAUAAAACAAAUGGUCAAACGUUGGUCGAAAAGUCAACGGCGUCAUAUAUU
rnacentral:pre_miRNA from 1 species